AUGACUUUAACAUCCAUCAUUAUUUGGGUACUCACAACCUGCACCUGUGGCUGUAUAGGGGAGAUUGUUGUGACACAACCCGCAGUUAAAUCAGUCCAGCCUGGCAAAACAGUUUCUAUUGACUGUAAAUUUAAUGUUGUGGUUUACAAAAAUGAACAAGGCAAAAACUCAAAAGGCCGUUAUUUUGUAUCAUGGUACAGUCAAAAGCCUGAAGAGGUUCCAAGACUCUUGGUGUAUUAUACAAAUGAGAGAGAGUCUGGAAUUUCAUCCAGAUUUAGUGGAAGUGGACAAGAAAAUGGUCUUGAUUUCACUCUGACCAUCAGUGAUGUUGAGCUUGAAGAUGCAGGAGAUUAUUACUGUCUGAGUAAUCAUGAGAUCAGUGGCAAAGAUGUGUUCACACAGUGA